rnacentral:rRNA from 1 species
CACGUAGGGCGCAAGCGUUGUCCGGAAUUAUUGGGCGUAAAGAGCUCGUAGGCGGUCUGUUGCGUCCGCUGUGAAAACCCGGGGCUUAACCCUGGGCUGGCAGUGGAUACGGACAGACUAGAGGUAGGUAGGGGAGAAUGGAAUUCCCCGUGUAGCGGUGAAAUGCGCAGAUAUCGGGAGGAACACCGGUGGCGAAGGCGGUUCUCUGGGCCUUACCUGACGCUGAGGAGCGAAAGCCAGGGGAGCAAACGGG